UGCUUUUAGUUUCAUUAGUCAUGUACUUGUACGCACUUGGUUUGGUUGCCUGGUUGCUGCUUCUGCCGUAGAAGUGACGGCGUUUUACUCAGCUGUUCGAUUCUGUCCUGUUGAUUGGGAGCAAUGUGUUUUCUCAGGGUUGUCUCCUUAGGCUUGCUUGGCAUUUUUCUUAUUGCGGGAAUAAGAGGUUUAAUGAAUCGGGGAAAUUAUAACUGAAUACUGAACACGAGAUAAAUACCCCAGUAGAAAUUCCGCAUUUUUUUAAUUUGCUCAGUAUUAAAUUGUGACCCUGGCAGUGUAACCGGUCAAUUAGCAUGGCUGCUGUUUGAAAGAUUGGAUGAAUGGAUGCCUAACUCUAGGCUGCUGAUGCAAAUGUAUGAUUAGUGUUACUACUACCCUGCUGUUAUUAGGAUCUAUGAUUUCAGCUUUCUAUCUGCUGAUGCAAAUGUAUGAUUGGUGUUACUACUACCCUGCUAUUAUUAGGAUCUAUGAUUUCAGCUUUCUAUCUUGAACUUCAAUGUGUAAUUCUGUAGCAUGGCAGUUGAAUAUUCAUAAUUAACAGCUUAUGAUCCAUUGAACAGGAGCACUUUGUUAUGCGCUGUUGAUAAAGCUCCUGAAGAAUCUCUCAAGAAGGCGAUUGAAGUGGAUAGGCUGAUUGAUAUGCUCUCAGAAGCAAAUUCUAGAGAGCUUGAUCAAAUAGUGUCUGAAAAUGUUCUGGUGUUUGAUGUUGGUUUCUGGGUUCGGCUGGCAGGUACAAUUGACCCUCUGCAAAUCAGAUGAUAAUAAAGCAUGGUUUCACGAAUGAAUACAGUUUGCCUUCCUAUCGAUGUAAUUAUCUUCUUUAUCGAUGAAUGUAACUUUGCAUUGUUGACCGGCUUGUCCGCAAGACUGGUGCAAGAACCAUGUUCCAUCGUGCAUAAGUCCUCAUAUAGUACAGAAAAAAAUUGAACAACCAAUUGAUGUGCGGAAGGCAGUAAUUAAUCCUGCAAUGCAUGAUGAGAUGUCAAGUGGCCACCAAGGGAUCCAAGAUGCUCUUGAAUUGAUGGAGAAAGCAAGGCCACAUCUCCUAUUUUUCUGCAUACUUUCUGUUGGUGCUGGCCUUUACAUGCAUUUUAUCUCGGUCUUGUUUUUAGAAUGCCUGUAAAGUUAAACCUUGUUACAUUGUCAUCUGCAUUAAUUGAAAAGAUGUGUUGUGCGAAUAUGAUGUUCAUGACAAAGAUCCAAUUCAGGUUACGCUUUACCAAUGCCUGUUGUUACCAUUGUCUCUGCUUUUCAACCAACAUUUCUUUCAGGCUCGAAAAUUUUGAUUAACAAACUGUAUUUUCUUUGUGUCACAUUCUGUACAUUGAAAAGCCAAACUGCCGUUUUUCCCCAGAUUUCUUAUAUGAUUUUUUCAUGGCAUCCUGAUAUUCCCAGGAAUUAUCACACUGUCACGAUCCUAGGAUCAUUAGGGUAAACACCACCUGGAAGAUAGGCAGGCGAAGUCGGCUUAAGUCGGCUUGGAGGGAGACUAGACUAUUUGGGGGAUUUGAGACUAAUUCUUCUCCAUUGAUUGCUUGAUUUGAGAUUGACAGUACCAUGUGCCUGCCUUUAUAGAGAUAGGCUGCACUGCACACGUGCACAACCUCCAAGCAAUAGAUCUAACAAACUAACAAUCCUACCUUAUCUAACUGACUUAAAGGCUUUAUCCUAACUAA